AUGGAACUUGCACAUACAGAACAAAGUCAGUUUUGUGACGUCUCUUAACUCUUGUCCAGUUUCAUUAACUUUUAUUUUCCUCACCUGUUUCUACUGUCAUUACUAUCAGCCUGGGGACAGGCAUUUUUGAAGCAUUCAUUUUAAUUACAGCACAAUAAGAAUACAGUCCCUUGUGAUACUUAUCAGUGGAAUACUCAACAAAAUUUUAACAUAUUGAAAAUAAAUCCUGUUUAUAGCAUACUGUUUUCCCAACUGUAGAAGAUUUUAACUGUUCAUAUAUCAUGCAUUUACCACCUUUUUAACAUUUAAACAGAGCCUAGAAUUUAUACCCUUUGAUGACUCACCAGUCCCUGCUACUCAGACGUAAUCAUCAUUCAAUAAGAAGCAGAAGUCCUGAGUGAACACAAUUAAUGCUGUAGUGCUGACUGGGGUGGCAGAGCUCAGCAAAGUGGGUUUAAAAAUUCCAGCAUGAUCUAUUCCUAGCAACAGACAUGAUCACUCCUGAACAAGCUGUAUCUGAUCCAUAUAUAUGCAAAGCCAGGUAACAGAGAAAGUGAGAUUGCUGGAUGCUCACUACAGAAGCUCAUUACAAAAGUUUAUGGUAGACUUUUACUGACCCCUUAAUUCUUGAGAAAUGCAACCUUUGUUGAAUUACUGAUUAACCAUUUUCUAGGAGCUUGGGGAAAUGGAACAAAAUAUUUGUAGAACCUGUAUGAGUAGGCUUUGGCACAGAGCCAAAGGCAUAGAGCCAAAGGCACAGAGCCUUUGACAGGCUAACUGUACCAUAUUAUAGUAGGAAAAUACUUCACAGAUCCAUUAGCAAGGAAGUGUCCAAGGAAAAGACUAACUCGUCAGUACUGGGAGCUAUUAGCACACAGUACUACUGGCCUUUUUCUCUGAUGUGGAAGGGUUGAACAUAACAGUCAGAUGCUUGGCCUCACAGCUCUGCAGUUGAUGCCUUUCUGCAAUUAAAUACAGUGAGCUGAUUCUGGCUUCAUCUGUGGGCUUUAGCUGUAAAUGAGAUCGGGCCAUGGCUUGGCAUGUCACUGACCCUCAAGGGCAUCACCAACAUCUCCUUUACUAUUUUGCAUGACCACACUGUUUUGGCACCCCCACUGGAUGCACAGUUGGUGUGUUUAGGAGGUGCAAGCAGGUGUGGUAGCAAUAGGCUGUAGCUUGCUGAAAGGAUUCCCAGGAUUAAGCCUGUUGCCAGCCCAAUCUGGCAUAGGGGGUGUCUGCAAACCCCCUCAAACUGCCUGGAGCCAGCUGUGUGGCUCCUUCACAUGCAUGAGAUUAAGCUGCUCAGAGUUACUUGCACUGAGAUAUGUAACUUAUGCAGUUUAAGGGACCCAAUUUCACCAAGGUUAUACUGAUUUAGCCCUCUUUAUGAUCUGACCAUAUGUAUUUAUUUAAAAUGCUGUCACAUUCAAGGUAUCUUAAAUACCUGUGUGGUCUGUAUUGCCUUUAAGAUGAAAUAAUGUAUCAAAUGGCACAAACUUCAGUACUGGUACUAGGUAUUUAUGGGUGGUGUUGUCCCCUUCAAAUGGAUGCCUGGCAAACAGUAGCUGAAUGAAGUAAAGUGUCUCAGGGAUGAAAAGGGUUUUUUGCAACAAUAAAAUCAUAACACAUCAUUUUCUCAAAGCCUAACUCUGCCAAGGUGCAUUCUAGUCGGGAUGUGAAUGAAAGGCCAGCGAUGACAGAGACAGCUCUGCAGGCUAUAGAAAGGGAAGAAACAGGAAGAUGCUGGUUAGCUAUAGUCAUAACUCCCUCCUGGCAAUCCCUCUCCAGAGACAACAAAGACAGACAGAUGUCCUCAGAGACUGAUUAAUCGUAGGUGUCAAAGAUCCCCUAGAAGAUGGCUCCACAGAUCUGCACUCCAGACAGUUCAGAGAACUGAAUCCUUCCCUCAGUAAAAGCACCCCUUAGAACAGAAAAUAAACUGUUCCUUCAGGAACAAUUUGUGUUCAUUUCUCCUCUCCACAUGCAAACUACAAACCUAGUAUGUGGUCUAUUUGUACCACCUCUGUAUCUGUAUUCCAUUCCCCUUUGCAGCUUGUUCUGUCUCACAUCAUUAGAAGACUGCUGUAAAGAUUACUGCUCCCUAUGUUAAAGUUAAAACAGAACCAGUAAGAAAAAUAUCCUCUGUGAAUCAUAAAUUUUGCUAACACAGUA